CUGUAUAUGUCAAGAGACUUAAACCUCUCUGAUCAUCUACACGUUUUAAAAUGUUUAAUUUCACUGCACGCAAGUCUACAGAAAGAGGAACAAACUGAGCAUUUUACCAAAGCAAUUAACAAUUAAAGUUUUCAAGGCAAUCAAGAAAAUAAAUAGUUCAUGCCGGCUGGGUGAUUUUCAUUCCAGGAAAAGUUAUCUCCAAUCAGCAUCAGAACGGGACUAGAGGUGAAGAGUCUUUUUGAAGGUGACCACUGUUCUGGGCUGUAUAAGCAUAAAGCCCCUCCUCUUGGGGAAAUGCUAUCUGUUGGCCUAUUCAUCUACUUUCUGAUGGUCUGUGUGUACCAAGAAAAGGAGAUCUGGGAACUAAAGAGCAGACAGGGACUGACCACAGAGGUCGCCGGUGGUAACACAGAGGUUGGACUGUACGUCCCGCCCAUGUAAGGGCAAUGCCACGUGGAGAAUGCCACAGCAGUUCCAGCGGAUAACAGAGGAUGCCCUGUCUCCACGCUGGAAGCAGGAAGGAGGGCCAAUCCUGGGUCUGAAUUACUCCUCUUCAACCCCGUCAGCCCCAAACAAGAAAUGACUCCUGUCUGUUAUGUCUGGGGUAAAUAAGGCUAAACAAAAUUAUAAAUUAAAUGCAGUUUGUCCACUA